rnacentral:rRNA from 1 species
ACUGUCAGCGACUGACGGAGGAUCAUUACAGUAAAUACGUGUUCCUAGGAAUAUGCAUUUUCAAACCCCUCUGUGUACCUUACCUGUUGCUUCCGUGCUGCGUGGACUUCGGUCCCCUCCCUCGCUGGAGUGCCGGCACGGCUAACAAAACUCAUGCAUUUCAUGUCAUCUGUCUGAACUGAUAAAUACAAAAAGUUAAAACUUUCAACAACGGAUCUCUUGGUUCUCGCAUCGAUGAAGAACGCAGCGAAAUGCGAUAAGUAGUGUGAAUUGCAGAAUUCAGUGAAUCAUCGAAUCUUUGAACGCACAUUGCGCCUCCUGGUAUUCCGGGAGGCAUGCCUGUUCGAGCGUCAUUAAAAUCAACUCAAGCUCUUUUGCUUGGUCAUGGAAGAAGAGUCUGCAUCGCGGUCUCCCCUCCGAAAUCCAAUGGCGGAAGGUCACUGGUACCCGGCGUAGUAUUAACGUUCGCUGUGUAUCCAGAGCCAUUCCCGCCCAACAACCCCCUUUCUCGUGAUUGACCUCGGAUCAGGUAGGGAUACCCGCUGAACUUAAGCAUAUCAUAAGGGGGGAGGGAAAAAA